rnacentral:rRNA from 1 species
AUUGAACGCUGGCGGCAUGCCUUACACAUGCAAGUCGAACGGCAGCACGGGGCAACCUGGUGGCGAGUGGCGAACGGGUGAGUAAUGCAUCGGAACGUACCUUUCAGUGGGGGAUAACGUAGCGAAAGUUACGCUAAUACCGCAUAUUCUGUGAGCAGGAAAGCAGGGGAUCGCAAGACCUUGCGCUGAUUGAGCGGCCGAUGUCAGAUUAGCUAGUUGGUGAGGUAAAGGCUCACCAAGGCGACGAUCUGUAGCGGGUCUGAGAGGAUGAUCCGCCACACUGGAACUGAGACACGGUCCAGACUCCUACGGGAGGCAGCAGUGGGGAAGUUGGGACAAUGGGGGCAACCCUGUUCCAGCCAUGCCGCGUGAGGGAAGAAGGCCUUCGGGUUGUAAAGCUCUUUCGGCCGGGAAGAAAUCGCACGGGCUAAUACCCUGUGUGGAUGACGGUACCGGAAUAAGAAGCACCGGCUAACUACGUGCCAGCCGCCGCCGUAAGAC